rnacentral:rRNA from 1 species
UACGAAGGGGGCUAGCGUUGCUCGGAAUUACUGGGCGUAAAGCGCGCGUAGGCGGAUCUGCAAGUCGGGGGUGAAAUCCCGAGGCUCAACCUCGGAACUGCCUUCGAUACUGCGGGUCUCGAGUCCGGGAGAGGUUAGUGGAAUUCCUGGUGUAGCGGUGAAAUGCGUUGAUAUCAGGAGGAACACCCAUGGCGAAGGCAGCUAACUGGGCAUUAUCUGACGCUGAGGCGCGAAAGCGUGGGUAGCAAACAGG